rnacentral:rRNA from 1 species
CCUACGGGAGGCUGCAGUGAGGAAUAUUGGUCAAUGGGCGAGAGCCUGAACCAGCCAAGUCGCGUGAGGGAGUACUUCCCUAUGGGUUGUAAACCUCUUUUGUCGGGGAGCAAAAGCCGGACGUGUCCGGCUGUGAGAGUACCCGAAGAAAAAGCAUCGGCUAACUCCGUGCCAGCAGCCGCGGUAAUACGGAGGAUGCGAGCGUUAUCCGGAUUUAUUGGGUUUAAAGGGUGCGCAGGCGGAUUUUUAAGUCAGCGGUAAAAUCGUGGGGCUCAACCCCAUCCAGCCGUUGAAACUGGGGAUCUAGAGUGUGCGAGAGGUAUGCGGAAUGCGUGGUGUAGCGGUGAAAUGCAUAGAUAUCACGCAGAACCCCGAUUGCGAAGGCAGCAUACCGGUGCACAACUGACGCUCAGGCACGAAAGCGUGGGUAUCGAACAGGAGUAGAUACCCUUGUAGUC